rnacentral:rRNA from 1 species
CCUACGUGGGGCUGCAGUGAGGAAUAUUGGUCAAUGGACGAGAGUCUGAACCCGCCAAGUAGCGUGAAGGAUGACUGCUCUAUGGGUUGUAAACUGCUUUUAUACAGGGAUAAAACUAAGUACGUGUGUCCUGUUGCAUGUACUUUCUGAAUAAGGAUCGGCUAACUCCGUGCCAGCAGCCGCGGUAAUACGGAGGAUCCAAGCGUUAUCCGGAUUUAUUGGGUUUAAAGGGAGCGUAGAUGGGUUGUUAAGUCAGUUGUGAAAGUUUGGGGCUUAACAGUAAAAUUGCACUUGAUACUGGCAGUCUAGAGAACAGAUGAGGUAGGCGGAAUUCAUGGUGUAGCGGUGAAAUGCUUAGAUAUCAUAAAGAACCCCGAUUGCGAAGGCAGCUUACCAAACUAUAACUGACAUUGAUGCUCGAAAGUGUGGGUAUCAAACAGGAUUAGAUACCCGAGUAGUC